UCACGAGAAGCAAAAUGGCGUUUGAAGUGUAACAACUUGCAUGUUUAUCUUUGGUGUGCACAGAGCUGGAGAAUCCUGAUGACAACAUUAAUUAUAAAGCCAUAGUUGGUUAACUUGACAUUGCUUAAUUGUAAAGAUGCAUGAAAAAGUUCGUCCUAGGAGCGUAAAGUUAGGAUGAACUGCUGAGCAUAGGUUGCUGUGUGAGAGCAGAAUCUGUGAUCAGUCUUACCGAGAAACCCAACAUUUGGAGACUUUAAAGCAUUUCUGACAGAAAAUUGAGCCGUCUUUAUAAUGAUGAAACGGAUGAAGGUGAUUAAAUGGUACUCACCAUUCCUGAGGGUCAGACUAAUGGUCAGCAGGCGUCAUUCACAGUUUUCAAGGUGCUGUACAAAAAACUUACUUUGACUCAAACUAUCCUAUACUGAAGAAACAAGACUGUUUUUUCUGGAUUGUCUCGAAUAAUCAUGAAGGAAUCUACUCAAUCUUUAACACACCAAACUGUCCAUCAAGCCAGACUGCUGGAGGGGACCUUUGCCUCGACGGCCACAGAAACCACCCAAAGUGGAGCUUCAAAAUGUGCCGAGGGCUUGUGUUUAUUAUGUGAGGGGAGGUUUUCACCCGGAGAACUGUACAGGAUGUUUUUCUGGUCCCGACAGGGUAAACAGCAGCAGCUGCGCACUUCCAGCUGGGGAGGCAUGUAUUUAAGUGUGCGCAUGUGUGCAGGAGCGCGCGUGUGUAUUAGCAAUCUCGGCUAGUCUCUAAGUGGGCUGCGUGCAUAAAAGUGUGUAUCCCUUUUGUGUGUGGGUGUGGGUGGGUGUGUGUUCAGUGGGUGUGGAGCUGACGGAGCAGGCCACACUGAAAGCUCAACCCAGGUAAUUAUAUAGCGUCGUCCAUUCACAAAAAGAGGAAGAAAAAAAAAAUCUGGCUCUAGUGAAUGAAGCCCAAAAUGACUGUCCCAGUAAAGCAGGAGGUAGAAAGUGAAACAAAAUGGAGAGAAACUGACACAACAUUACAGUGACAUAAACCACAAACUGCCUCAGGGAUCUGCUGUUAAGAUGGAAGUUAGGGUGCUCAAAUUUGGAAGUACUACUUCUUAAAAAAGAAAUAAAAUGGCAACAUUAAAAUACUUUUCAUUAAAUGGUUUUACACUCUGUCAACAUAUAUAUAUCAUCACAUGAAAAGAGUUUUUUUGCAAGACUCUGUUCAGAAACUUUGUCAGUUUGCUGGUCUGAAGAUUUCAGGUGUGCGCUAACACAGUUCCACCCUAUAGUCAUACCAUUCAAUGCUCAAACUGCCAAAAAAAGUCAAGAGCUACAUCUCAGAUCAUCAUGAGAGUAUAUUUAGAAAAAGACAGUAUUCGGAAGGGUUGCCAGGCGAAGACCUCUUGGCAGUAGAGCUCAAGUUUGCAAAGUUACAACUGAACAAACCAUGACACUUCUGGAACAAUGUCCUUUGGACAGACAAG